GUUUGCAGGCUGUACACCUGUCAUAAAGGCUUGGCGUGACGGCAAGAAUAUAUUAAGGGGGUCUAUUUGAGCAAGGCACAGGUGCAGCUGAAGAGCAGUUCCUUGGGUGUGAAAAGAGGCCUUUCGUAAGCUCCCGUAGCGAUCCAAUGCUUUUCUGCACCAAAACCAAAAGGGGACCUUGAAACCUGGUGGCUUCGUGGUGGUGGAUGAAGCUCGGAAAGGAAUGAAGAGACAUCUUCUGGUUGUCUUGUUGACCAUUAUCUUGCACGUCAAGAAAGUUCCUUCGCUGGAAUGCUACGCUUGCAAUCAGACAACCUACUCUGGGUGUACAAAAAUUAAGAACUGUUCUCACCAUGAGCAUUUCUGCACAAGGUAUACAGCGACUUCUUUGUCUGGAUUCCUGCUUCAAAAAGGUUGUGCAGUCCACUGUCCCAUCAUGAAAAACAGCUGGCCAUCGCUGUAUACCUUAACCUGCUGUCAGGAGGACAGGUGCAACCGUAUGACGGUCGUAAGGUGCUCCAAGUCUGUGUUAGCAGUAACCCUUGUUUUCGGAGCCUUGAUUGAUCUGGAACUCUGAUGGGGGCACAGACUACUUCCCCGUUUAUUUGUUUGUUUGUUUAUUCAUUCCUGCUCUCACUCAUUCAGUUUCUACAGUCGUCCAUUCUCAGUCAAGGAUUCUGCGAGGCUUAUAGUUUUUUUUAAUAUAUAUAUAUAUUAUGGUUAGAAAUAUUAAAAACACUUUAAAACAAUAAAAAGCCCAGUCGAACCAACGCAAACACUAAAAAAACGUCCACAUGAAAUAUAAAAUUAAAUGUGGGUCUUUGGCAUUUCUGCCAAAACCUCUGUCCUGUUGUUGCUGAUGGACCCAUGAGGAGAUAACCCAUUUCCUGAAAAUAAACACUUAUUUCUUUAUUUAGAUAAGAUAA